rnacentral:rRNA from 1 species
UACGUAGGCAGCGAGCGUUGUUCGGAGUUACUGGGCGUAAAGGGUGUGUAGGCGGUUGUUUAAGUUUGGUGUGAAAUCUCCCGGCUCAACUGGGAGGGUGCGCCGAAUACUGAAUGACUUGGAGUGCGAGAGAGGAGAGUGGAAUUCCGGGUGUAGUGGUGAAAUGCGUAGAGAUCCGGAGGAACGCCGGUGGCGAAAGCGGCCACCUGGGUCUGACCUGACGCUGAGGUGCGAAAGCGUGGGGAGCAAACCGG